GACGAACGCUGGCGGCGUGCUUAACACAUGCAAGUCGAGCGGAGCGGCGAACGGGUGAGUAACGCGUGAGUAACUGCACCCCUCUCUGGGAUAACCGUUGGAAACGGCUGCUAAUACCGGUUAGUGGGGGAUGACUCGCGUCCUAUCAGCUUUUUGGUGGGGUAGUGGCCUACCAAGGCGACGACGGGUAGCCGGCCUGAGAGGGCGACCGGCCACAUGGGGCUUGGAUACGGGCCAAACUCCUUCGGGAGGAAACAGUGGGGAAUAUUGCGCAAGGGGGGAAACCCUGAUGCAGCAACGCCGCGUGCGGGAGGACGGCCUUCGGUUUGUAAACCGCUUUCAGCCAUGACGCGGUAGUGGCAGAGGAAGCACCGGCUAACUACGUGCCAGCAGCCGCGGUAAUAC
rnacentral:rRNA from 1 species